AUUUUUUAUGGGCACUUGACAUGUAUAAAAGAGCAAUUAGCCCGGCAGAACAACUUUCGGAAUUUUAUGAAGUGUGUAAAAGUAUACAUAUUGGGCGUGGUGAGCGAUUCCUCAAAAUUGAACAGCCACCUGCAUCGUUCCUGGGAGCUAUGGAGGAGUAUGUGAGCAAUGCCCCCCUUGCUUCAACAGUUCAGAGAAAUCAGG